rnacentral:rRNA from 1 species
GUGCCAGCAGCCGCGGUAAUACAGAGGUGGCAAGCGUUGUUCGGAAUUACUGGGCGUAAAGGGCGCGUAGGCGGUCGAUUAAGUCCCGUGUGAAAUCCCUCGGCUCAACUGAGGAACUGCACGGGAAACUGGCUGACUUGAGUUCGGGAGAGGGAAGCGGAAUUCCGGGUGUAGCGGUGAAAUGCGUAGAUAUCCGGAGGAACACCGGUGGCGAAGGCGGCUUCCUGGACCGAUACUGACGCUGAGGCGCGAAAGCUAGGGGAGCAAACGGGAUUAGAUACCCGCGUAGUCC